GUAGGUGGCAAGCGUUGUCCGGGAAUUAUUAGGCGUAAAGCGCGCGCAGGCGGUUCUUUAAGUCUGAUGUGAAAGCCCACGGGCUCAACCGUGGAGGGUCAUUGGAAACUGGAGAACUUGAGUACAGAAGAGGAAAGCGGAAUUCCACGUGUAGCGGUGAAAUGCGUAGAGAUGUGGAGGAACACCAGUGGCGAAGGCGGCUUUCUGGUCUGUAACUGACGCUGAGGCGCGAAAGCGUGGGGAGCAAACAGGAUUAGAUACCCUGGUAGUCCACGCCGUAAACGAUGAGUGCUAAGUGUUAGGGGGUUUCCGCCCCUUAGUGCUGCAGCUAACGCAUUAAGCACUCCGCCUGGGGAGUACGGCCGCAAAGGCUGA
rnacentral:rRNA from 1 species